GAUGAACGCUGGCGGCGUGCCUAAUACAUGCAAGUCGAGCGAACGGACGAGAAGCUUGCUUCUCUGAUGUUAGCGGCGGACGGGUGAGUAACACGUGGAUAACCUACCUAUAAGACUGGGAUAAUUUCGGGAAACCGGAGCUAAUACCGGAUAAUAUUUUGAACCUCAUGGUUCAAAAGUGAAAGACGGUCUUGCUGUCACUUAUAGAUGGAUCCGCGCUGCAUUAGCUAGUUGGUAAGGUAACGGCUUACCAAGGCAACGAGGCAUAGCCGACCUGAGAGGGUGAUCGGCCACACUGGAACUGAGACACGGUACAGACUCCUACGGGAGGCAGCAGUAGGGAAUCUUACGCAAGGGGCGAAAGCCUGACGGAGCAACACCGCGUGAAUGAUGAAGGUCUUCGGAUCGGAGAACUCUGUUAUUAGGAAGGAACAUAUGUGUAAGUAACUGUGCACAUCUUGACGGUACCUAGUCAGAAAGCCACGGCUAACUACGUG
rnacentral:rRNA from 1 species